rnacentral:sRNA from 1 species
AAAGAAGCCUGCUAAAAGGCUUCUUUUUUUGUGGAUAGAAAGAAUCGUUUUGAUAUUGCUAACGCUUACAUAAUCAGCUAUAAUAAAGGCGACGGAAUCGUCGGAUUAUAAUUAUUGGAGGCUUUACACACUAUGGAACAUGGGAAAGUAAAAUGGUUCAACAACGAAAAAGGGUUUGGUUUUAUUACAGUUGACGGUGGCGAUGAUGUAUUUGUUCACUUUUCUGCCAUUCAAGGAGACGGUUUUAAAUCACUUGAAGAAGGUCAAGAAGUUGAAUUUACGAUCGUUGAAGGUGCCCGCGGACCGCAAGCAGCGGAAGUGACCAAAGUCUAAAUCUGAACGGAAAAGCUGAGUAAGCCCUCAGCUUUUUUAA